GCCAGCCCGCUCAGAACUUAAAGGAAUUGAGGGGGCCCGCACAAGCGGUGGAGCAUGUGGUUUAAUUCGAUGAUACGCGAGGAACCUUACCUGGGCUCAAAUGUAUGUUGACGUAUUCUGAAAGGGAUACUUCUUCGGACAAUAUACAAGGUGCUGCAUGGUUGUCGUCAGCUCGUGCCGUGAGGUGUCGGGUUAAGUCCCAUAACGAGCGCAACCCCUAUCAUUAGUUGCCAUCAGGUCAAGCUGGGGACUCUAAUGAAACUGCCUACGCAAGUAGUGAGGAAGGUGGGGAUGACGUCAAAUCAGCACGGCCCUUACGUCCAGGGCUACACACGUGCUACAAUGGCCGGUACAAAGGGCUGCCAAGCCGCGAGGUGGAGCUAAUCCCAUAAAACCGAUCGUAGUCCGGAUCGCAGUCUGCAACUCGACUGCGUGAAGUCGGAAUCGCUAGUAAUCGUGAAUCAGAAUGUCACGGUGAAUACGUUCCCGGGCCUU
rnacentral:rRNA from 1 species